rnacentral:lncRNA from 1 species
AUGACUGCCAGCAUUAUGACCAGUCUUGGAACUAGGAUUGGGGUGGGGUUCAUCCCACCCAGACCACAGAGACUGAAAAUAAGAAAGGGGUGAGGCCUAAGGGACAAUCAGGAUGUUUUUCAGAGAGAAGUGUGGAUGCUGGACAGGAAGAACCACAGAUACCAGAUACGGGUACUGUUGUAACUCUGUUCUCCAUGAAAAGACAUACUUUAUUCAGCUGGGUGCUGAAAAAGAAUCUUGGAAAUUAGGAAACUGAAUGAGGCCUCAUUUCACACUCAGAAUGUGGGUUGCAAUAGUCACUUCCUCUGCUGCUGGGAAAGAAAGAAUUAUACUACCUUUUGAAUUUUGGAUUAAGGAGAGAGGUGUUGGCUUGUCAAACUACCAUGUAUUCCUCAAGACAUAUUUUUGUGGCUUUAUAAAAUUCAAUAUAUAUGUCUAAAUUCAAAAAUAUUUUGUUGCAAUCUGGCCCUUGGACAAACUGAGGCCCUAGCAACUGAUGUUUAUGGCUUUCCGUAGAACCUUUCAGAUAAAAUUUACACAGCAUUUUACUGCAGCUAUUUCACACAAAGCAGAGGAUUUUGCCACAAAACUGAAAGAAAAAAGAAACUGCAUUCUUAAAUUUUUCAUAAAUCAAAAGGUAUAAAAAUAUCUACCUAAACGAUAAAGGAGAUGAGAAACCCCACCCAUGAUGGGAAGAAAGCCUAUUUCAGUUUUGCCUUUACUUCAAGUUCUUUUUUCCAUAUCUGGAAUGCAAUCAGAAUUUUAAUCUUGCCUUGGGUUCCUCCUGGAUUUGGGGAGAAGACAAAACCUGAAAAUCUCUAAUCUGCAUGUGUUCAGCUGCGUAUCUUCUGGAUACGGAAGGAUCACACUGCACAGAGUGCUGGACUUGCAGGAGCCCCGCUUCUCAACCUCCAUCGCUUUAUGAAUGAAUUCACCAGAAAGAAAAGGAAGAAUCAACACUUUCAGAGAUGGAGCCUGUUGAGCCACAGUACCAACUAGUCAAUGCUGAAUCGACUUCUCCCUUUCUACAUUGCCUGAGAGAAGUCAUUGGGGAAUACUCUGUACACGAAUUUUCACUGUUGGGGAAAACAGGUAUUGGAAGUGAUGGGUAGACCUCAGUUUGUAUGCAUUGUGUUAAUUACUAUUUCUUUGCUUUUCCUUUUUUUGUGCGGUUGCAGAGAGUCAAGGGAUUGGAUUGUGGAUUGCAUUGGUGGUUUUCCUCAGUUUCCUCAUCUUCUCCACAAGUUUCUACAUAUCGAAUGCAGAGCAGCCCUUCUUCAAAGGACCUCCUACGGAAGCUGCUAAGGAACUCAGUCUGUAGCUCUGCGUGGAGCCAUGUGUAAACACUGAACUGAGACCUGCCACCUCCUACUACCUAAGGGCCCAUUUUCAUCUGAUAUCAUCCCCCAGAAACAAACUCAUGAUGACUUCCAUGUUUUUUUUAGAUUAGAUACAUGGAGAAUUUUCCUUUCCCUUAGAAUUAAAAUCCUGCAUUCUAAUUUUCA